rnacentral:rRNA from 1 species
AGUGGCGGACGGGUGAGUAAUGCUUAGGAAUCUGCCUAGUAGUGGGGGAUAACCCGGGGAAACUCGGGCUAAUACCGCAUACGCCCUACGGGGGAAAGCGGGGGACUUUCGGGCCUCGCGCUAUUAGAUGAGCCUAAGUCCGAUUAGCUAGUUGGUAGGGUAAUGGCCUACCAAGGCGACGAUCGGUAGCUGGUCUGAGAGGACGACCAGCCACACUGGGACUGAGACACGGCCCAGACUCCUACGGGAGGCAGCAGUGGGGAAUAUUGGACAAUGGGCGCAAGCCUGAUCCAGCGAUGCCGCGUGUGUGAAGAAGGCCUGCGGGUUGUAAAGCACUUUCAGUAGGGAAGAAAAGCCGAGUGCUAAUAUCACUCGGUCUUGACGUUACUUACAGAAGAAGCACCGGCUAACUCCGUGCCAGCAGCCGCGGUAAUACGGAGGGUGCGAGCGUUAAUCGGAAUUACUGGGCGUAAAGGGCGCGUAGGCGGUUUGGUAAGUCGGGUGUGAAAGCCCCGGGCUCAACCUGGGAAUUGCAUUCGAUACUGCCUGGCUAGAGUAUGGUAGAGGGAAGCGGAAUUCCGGGUGUAGCGGUGAAAUGCGUAGAUAUCCGGAGGAACACCAGUGGCGAAGGCGGCUUCCUGGACCAAUACUGACGCUGAGGCGCGAAAGCGUGGGGAUCAAACAGGAUUAGAUACCCUGGUAGUCCACGCCCUAAACGAUGAGAACUAGCCGUUGGAGGAGCUUUGUCCUUUAGUGGC